UGCGUAGGCGGUUUGGAAAGUCAGAUGUGAAAGCCUAUGGCUUAACCAUAGAACUGCAUUUGAAACUUCCAGACUAGAAUACUGAAGGGGCAGAUGGAAUUAGUGGUGUAGGGGUAAAAUCCGUAGAUAUCACUAGGAAUACCGAAAAAGCGAAAGCGAUCUGCUGGGAAGUUAUUGACGCUGAGGCACGAAAGCGUGGGGAGCAAACG
rnacentral:rRNA from 1 species